UACGUAGGUGGCAAGCGAUACUCGGAAUCACUAGGCGUAAAGCGCAGGUAGGAGGUUUAGUAAGUCUGUUGUGAAAGCUCCCGGCUUAACUGGGAGAGGUCAACGGAAACUGCUAGGCUAGAGUGCGGUAGAGGUAGCUGGAAUUCCUGGUGUAGCGGUGAAAUGCGCAGAUAUCAGGAGGAACACCGGUGGCGAAGGCGGGUCUCUGGGCCGAUACUGACGCUGAGGAGCGAAAGCGUGGGGAGCGAACAGG
rnacentral:rRNA from 1 species